rnacentral:lncRNA from 1 species
CAAGAAUUCACAUUUUCAAAAGUUGAUGACGAAAGAAGCACGUCCUUCUGGUACGACGUCUGGGCUAUCGAUACUCCUUUGAGCAAGGUCCUUCCUGAUCUUCAAUGUUUUGCCAUCAACCCUCUGAUGAAUAAUGCUAGGUUCUUUAGCCAGAAUAAUUGACAAUCUAACUUCAAUUCCCCACUGAGCUAUGCAACCAUAGAAGACUACCUAAAACUCAUCAA